UCUUCUUUGCCACGGCUGAUCGGACGCUGAAAGAUAGAGUUGGGUGCCUUUUGUCAUGAACUGUCAGGACGCAUAUCUCCAUCAAAAACAUCACCGCCAUCCGAGAUGGUGUUCAUGUUUGAGGAUACUUCAGCGCCACGCCUAUUCUAAACGCAGCGGUCUUGCGCACUCGGGUGCGUGGAGCGUCUGGAGCGCAAUGAGCUGCGGUUGAACAGAGCGCUGAGUGAGACUGAAUGCGUAAUGAUGAGAGGAGGAGGGGACCCAAGUAUGGGCACAUGGAAGGAAGCAGCAAAAGAAUUAAGAGAAGGAGAGAAAGAGCACAAUAAUAUGUCAGUAAAUAUUAAGUCCUGUGAUUCUCACAUGUUGCGCGUAAAUGUGAAACCCAUAACGCUGGUUCGACUAGCCUAUUUAAAACAAAUAUUUUAGGUUUUGUAUACCACUUUUAAACGUUGAAGCAAAUCGUUGGACCUCUGGUUUGCAAUGGAAAGUGCACCUGUUGUGUUUUGGUUAUAGCCUACUUGUAACAAUAUACAAACGUCUAACUUUUUUAAGUAAAUGUUUAAAACCUUGAA